GUAGUACUCCCUCCGUCCCAAAAGUUUAAUCUUAGUUUUCUCUAGAAAUGGAUGUACCUACAGACUACAAUGUGACUAGAUAUAUUUAUAUAUAGACAAUUUUAAGACAAAAAUUUUAGGACGGAAGGAGUAUGAG
rfam:Hordeum vulgare subsp. vulgare, WGS project CAJW01000000 data, contig: morex_contig_136930